GAAAAAAAUGUUAGAAUUUCAAGAUUCAAACUCAGAAUUCUGAGAAAAAAACGUCAGAAUUUCAAGAUUCAAACUCAGAAUUGCAAGUGAGUCAGAAAAGUCGUAAUUAUGAGAUAAAAACUCACAAUUACCUUUUUGAUUCUCUAAUUCCAUGGUGGAAACAAAAUUAUAAAAUUAUCAUUUUAAGCUGUAUUACCUCUUUAGCUUUGUGUGAGUGUCUUUUGUUAGUGUGUGUCCCAUAACUAUUCAUUUUAAGUUAUUCACUGUGAAUGGAUGAGUGCUUGAGGUACAUUUGGGCCAAUUUUAUGAGUUUUUUUUUAGCCAGGUGUGAGUGUAAGUUUGAGUGUUUAUCUGUAAGCUUUCACAAUCCACAACCUGUUUUCAGUAUCUUGAUCUGUUUUUGCAGUAAUAGACACUCAUUUUAUUCCUGCAAUUAUGUUUGCUUCAAGAAAGUCACAUAGAUCUACUUCUUCACACAUUAAAACUACUGCUACUAUUUUUCAUACGUGUUGACGACAGGUUAAUGGUAUUUAUUUCUUUCCAAUUUUUAAACACAGCUGUUUUUAGGUAAAUCAGUAAAUAUGUCGGCCCACUUACAUGUGUCUUUGUUCGGUUGAAAUAAUAAAGUAAAUAAGACUAUGAAAGAUAAUGCAUAGACAUUUAAAGUUGUAGUCAUCUAUAAUAUUUGUAAUUUUGUAGUCGACAUAGAAAACAUGAAAAUGUCUACAGAUGUUACGUUCAUGAUGCUAGUGUUUGUAAUUUGGCUUGGAUUUGUGUAAGAAACUUUGUUUAUCAGCUAACACAAACUGAGACCUCAUAAAGUGGAGGAAAUCAUU